rnacentral:rRNA from 1 species
AGCGUAUAUUAAAGUUGUUGCAGUUAAAAAGCUCGUAGUUGGAUUUCGGAAGGUCCUUAGCAGUCCGCCCCUUCGGGGAGCGGGUUGCUGGCCUCCUAUGUUCCUAACGGUCCUCAUCCGCGAGGGUGGGGAAUCAACCGCUAGGAUCGUUUACUUUGAGGAAAUUAGAGUGUUCAAAGCAGGCGUAACUCGCCUCCGAAUACGUUAGCAUGGGAUAAUGGAAUACGACUUCGGUCUUGUUUCGUUGGUUUCGCUUGGCUGAAGUAAUGAUUGAUAGGGACAGUUGGGGGCAUUAGUAUUUAGUUGUCAGAGGUGAAAUUCUAGGAUUUACUAAAGACUGACCAAUGCGAAAGCAUUUGCCAAGGAUGUUUUCAUUAAUCAAGAACGAAAGUAGGGGGAUCGAAGACGAUCAGAUACCGUCGUAGUCUCUACCGUAAACUAUGCCGACCAGGGAUCCGGAGAGUUUGCAUGGAUGACUCCCCGGGCACCUUGUGAGAAAUCAUAAGUGUUUGGGUUUUGGGGGGAGUAUGGUCGCAAGGCUGAAACUUAAAGGAAUUGACGGAAGGGCACCACCAGGAGUGGAACCUGCGGCUUAAUUUGACUCAACACGGGGAAACUUACGAGGUCAGGACACUGUGAGGAUUGACAGAUUGAAAGCUCUUUCUUGAUUCAGUGGGUGGUGGUGCAUGGCCGUUCUUAGUUGGUGGAGUGAUUUGUCUGGUUAAUUCCGUUAACGAACGAGACCUUAACCUG